rnacentral:rRNA from 1 species
UACGUAGGCGGCGAGCGUUGUUCGGAGUUACUGGGCGUAAAGAGUGCGUAGGCGGUUUUCUAAGUUUGGUGUGAAAUCUCCCGGCUCAACUGGGAGGGUGCGCCGAAGACUGGAAGGCUUGAGUAUGGGAGAGGUAAGCGGAAUUCCUGGUGUAGCGGUGAAAUGCGUAGAUAUCAGGAGGAACACCUGCGGUGUAGACGGCUUACUGGACCAUAACUGACGCUGAGGCACGAAAGCGUGGGUAGCAAACAGG